rnacentral:lncRNA from 1 species
GCAUCACCUGCUCCUCCUGCCUGUCUCGGCCUUCUAUUCUUCAUUACACAACAGAUGACCUAUCUGAUAGACGUCUUCCCUCCUGCAGAUUCUGUUGCCAGCCUUCAAUGAGAAUAAAGCCGGCAGCCCUUUUUAUCUUCAUUUGGCUGCGGUUCCAUCCUCUGCUUUUUUCUAAAGAUCGUUUGCCAGCAUUGCUUGCUCAGUUGUACCCAGUGGAACAAGCAGUGUCUUCUGAACUGACAAUUCUGACUUUUUGCUGCUUGUGAUUUUUCUAAAGCAUGACAACCACUCGCAUGAAGACACGGUAAACCUUUUCAGAUAAGGAAGCCAGGAAAAAGAAAGGCCUUUCAAGAAACAGAGGUAGUUACUGCAGGAGCUGAACAAGGCAAGUCUCCUAUGGAUUCAUUUAAUUUGGCCAUAACUUACAGGUGGUAAGAGAAAUUAGAAUCCUGCCGUCCGUGAGAGAGAGAGAGAGAUAGAGAGAGAGAGAGAGAGAGAGAGAGAGAGAGAGAGAGAGAGAAUACAUACAUGUUUUAAAAGAGCAUUUUAUUUGGACAGCCACUAAGAAAAUUCAGAUUAGGAAUUGGAAACCAGAAGGCUUCGUCUGUUCCAUAUGUAUGCACAUGCUAUAUUCUAAUUUUUUUAUAUUUAUCAGAAAUGAUACGCCUAAUUCCAAACAUAAAGGAGAGUUUCUUUUCAACAGAGUCUUCAAUAAUAUCUGUCCUCCUUCAAAAUAGAGUAACUCUAAAUGCUGUUCCUUCCACAGAGGUACUGAGAAAACAGAUGAUCUGUUGAGUCUGGAACUCAGCAUAGUGAUGCAUGUUACUGAAACGUGGAGUCCAGAAAGACAAUCCCAUUCCAAAGGCUAAGCAGUGAUGAUGUUUUCAACAGGAUGCAGCCCCUGGAUAUAAGCUCCUGCUUUCCAGAAAUCUCUGAGAUAUCUAAGAGACACAGUGGCUGUGACACCUUUUUGACACGUGUCUCUGAGAAAUUGCAAGGACAUGGAGAAGAUAGGAGAGCAGGAGCCAGAGGGAGGUCCAGACACCAAGGCUGUCCUCUCUGGAAGGAAG